GUCCGGGAGCCACACACUGGUGCCGCCUGAGACCCAGCGGGCCGACCCCCUGGUGUGUGCCGUGGGCAUGCUGGGCUCUGCCAUCUUCAUCUGCCUGAUCUUCGUGGCUGCCAAGAGCAGCAUUGUAGGGGCCUAUAUCUGUAUCUUCGUCGGGGAGACACUGCUGUUUUCCAACUGGGCCAUCACUGCCGACAUCCUCAUGUACGUGGUCAUCCCCACCCGGCGUGCCACGGCUGUGGCCUUGCAGAACUUCACCUCCCACCUGCUGGGGGACGCCGGGAGCCCCUACGUCAUUGGCUUUAUCUCAGACCUGAUCUGCCAGAGCACCAAGGACUCCUCGCUCUGGGAGUUCCUGAGCCUGGGCUACGUGCUCAUGCUCUGCCCCUUCGUCGUGGUCCUGGGGGGCAUGUUCUUCCUCGCCAUGGUGCUCUUCUUCCUCAGCGACCGUGCCAAGGCUGAGCAGCAGUGAGUGGGGCUGAGGGGAGGCCUGCUGGGGAGCCCUGCUCGGGGGUGGCGGAGAGGAGACCUGGGUGCACCCAGUGGGUGGCCUGGUUGCUGGGGUCCAGCCCCUGGGCCUCCCCGCACCUGUGGGGCUCAGUGCCAGCAUUGGCCUGGAGCUGUGGGGGGCCACAGGGGUGUCUGGUGGGUCCAGGCUUGGACUUGGUGGUUUUCGAAGCUGGGACCCCUCCCCAUUCCUUUUCCUCUCACCUUCUGACUUCUUUCUCCUUUCCUCUUUACUCCUCUCUCUCCUCUCCCCACCCCUGGGCUCUCCCACCUCCCCCUGGGGCUGACGAGGUCCCUGCCCAGCACCUCCGGUCAGCUGGCCCCCACAACGCGAUGUGCCAGAGCAGUGCCCGGGCCCGGCCCCUGCUGAUGCGUCACCCUGACUCCCGCCCAUCUCUCCCUCAGGGUGAACCAGCUGGUGAUGCCGCCCGAAUCUGUGAAAGUCUGAGGUGGUGAGUGCAGGCAGAGAGGCCCUCGGGAAGGGGGAAGGCCAGGGCUAGGUGACAGGGAGCACUCUUCCUCCCGAGUCCCCUCCUGCCCCAGCACCUCCCAUCAACCCUGGGCUUGGACUCUGAUGUUGCGAGAAUUCACUGAUGGAGCCAUGGGUCAGGGCUCCUGCUUCCAGUAAUA
rnacentral:lncRNA from 1 species